CAGUAACUGAAUACCUGAGGCUGCUUUGAUGGCACGUUCUUAUCUUCCCAGCAAAGUUUCAUAAAUUGUUGAAUUAUGGAGAAAGGAUCUCAACAAGGUAAAUCCAAAGGCUGCUGAAUCGUUGGCAGAUCCACAGGAGUAUCCAAAUUUGUUUGAUGCCUGGCAAAUUGCUCUAGCUGGUAUACUCCUCCCAUACAUAUACUGUUCUUUUUUGAAUGGUUUUAGGUGAGCAAAAUAUGUCAAAGUAGAUAGAAUAUAUGUGAUGGACUUAUACUCAUUUUUCUUUCUCGUGCUUUAGUGAUGGUAACCUCAUCCAAUGAUCCUAACUGCUAAUUUGGAAACCAUAAUAUGUGGAUGUAACAGUGACGAGCUUAUACUGAAGUUUUCAAGGAAAGAGACGAGUGUCAAAUGGCUCUGGUAUUGAUCAAGUUAAUGUGCAUAUAAUAGGUGAUUCAAUAGAACCAAUAUAAAAAUGUAGCUCCUGUUUGAGAAUGCAUUCUAUAUUUCAUUGUUCACCAACUUCUUUUGAUGGUGUAAGUUUACUGGAGCUAAAUGAUGAAUAUCCAAGUGCUUUGUCUAUUCCAGUAAUCAUUCCCUGGAGGAUGUAGUGUUGAAUGAUAUUUUAGGUUAGGUCUUGGUGUGGUGAAAAUUACAUAGUUCAAUCUUUGAAAUUAGUGUUGUUUGAGGCCGGGGGAAAAACUUCUGACAACAGAUAUCAGGGAACGGAAAGCACCAUAAAAGGUCUUGGAGACUGGCAAAGAGGUCAUUUAGCUCUUUUUUCUAAAAUAUCUUGAGUCAAAUAUGGUCAAGUCUAGUAUGAUCAUUAGAAACUUAUUUCAUUCCUGGUAUGUUGAUCAUUGUAAUCUUGAAUGGUCCAUGAUGGAGCUUAGUGUUGCAUAUCUAUAUCAAAUCUCUUAAUAGUCAAGUUCCCGCUAUCACUUCUAUUGUGUUUUAGUUUUACUUUCACAGUUUCACGGUCUAGGUCGUAUUCUUCGUGCUUGAUUCAUCAUGUUUAAUUCUUCAUAUCCUUGAUUGUUUUUUUUCUUGUCCCAUUUUAUUCCUUGCUUCUGGGUAAAUUGCAGCAAAAGUUUCUACUCUGCUCCGUUUUACUUUUGAUGUGUUCUGCUGGUUAUUGCUUUUGUGUAAAUUUUUGUCUAGAAUUUUGCGGUGCCUGAGGAUCUUUCUACUUAUGAUGGUUUUGAGCUGCGACUUAAAGGUGACGGUCGUCGAUAUAAACUCAUUGUCCGCACUAGCAGCGAUUGGGAUACUGUAGGUUAUAUGGCAAGUUUUGACACAACGGAGGGACAAUGGCAAUCUAUAAAAUUACCGUUUUCCUCAUUGAGGCCUGUACUUUGAGCCCGGACUGUCUUAGACGCUCCGCCCUUCGAUGCACACAAUAUUAGUUCUCUGCAGGUAAUGUUCAAUAAGUUUGAAUAUGAUGGCAAACUGAAUCCAACUUUUGUAGAGGGCCCUUUCCAGCUUCUUCUGUCAGCUGUACGGGCAUACAUGCAGGAACCAAUUACACCAAGAUUCGUCCAUGUGAGCUCUGCAGGAGUUACGCGCCCAGAUAGGCCUGGACUUGAUCUGAGUAAGCAGCCUCCUGCUGUCCGUUUGAACAAGGAACUGGACUUCGUUUUCACA